CCUACGGGCGGCUGCAGUGGGGAAUAUUGCACAAUGGGCGCAAGCCUAAUGCAGCCAUGCCGCGUGUGUGAAGAAGGCCUUCGGGUUGUAAAGCACUUUCAGCGGGGAGGAAGGCGGUGAGGUUAAUAACCUCAUCGAUUGACGUUACCCGCAGAAGAAGCACCGGCUAACUCCGUGCCAGCAGCCGCGGUAAUACGGAGGGUGCAAGCGUUAACCGGAAUUACUGGGCGUAAAGCGCACGCAGGCGGUCUGUCAAGUCGGAUGUGAAAUCCCCGGGCUCAACCUGGGAACUGCAUUCGAAACUGGCAGGCGAGAGUCUUGUAGAGGGGGGUAGAAUUCCAGGUGUAGCGGUGAAAUGCGUAGAGAUCUGGAGGAAUAGCGGUGGCGAAGGCGGCCCCCUGGACAAAGACUGACGCUCAGGUGCGAAAGCGUGGGGAGCAAACAGGAUUAGAUACCCCGGUAGUC
rnacentral:rRNA from 1 species